rnacentral:rRNA from 1 species
UACGGGGGGAGCAAGCGUUGUUCGGAUUUACUGGGCGUAAAGGGCGCGUAGGCGGCUCGGCACGUCCGUUGUGAAAUCGCCCGGCUCAACUGGGCGGGGUCAGCGGAUACGGUCGAGCUUGAGCAAGCUAGGGGGUAAUGGAAUUCCCGGUGUAGUGGUGGAAUGCGUAGAUAUCGGGAGGAACACCAGUGGCGAAGGCGGUUACCUGGGGCUUUGCUGACGCUGAUGCGCGAAAGCGUGGGGAGCGAUCCGG